GAUGAACGCUAGCUACAGGCUUAACACAUGCAAGUCGAGGGGAAACGACAUCGAAAGCUUGCUUUUGAUGGGCGUCGACCGGCGCACGGGUGAGUAACGCGUAUCCAACCUGCCCACCACUUGGGGAUAACCUUGCGAAAGUAAGACUAAUACACAAUGAUAUCUCUAGAAGACAUCUGAAAGAGAUUAAAGAUUUAUCGGUGAUGGAUGGGGAUGCGUCUGAUUAGCUUGUUGGCGGGGUAACGGCCCACCAAGGCUACGAUCAGUAGGGGUUCUGAGAGGAAGGGCCCCCACAUUGGAACUUGAACGCGGUCCAACAGCCUACGGUAGGCAGCAGUGAGGAAUAUUGGUCAAUGGGCGAGAUCCUGAACCAGCCAAGUAGCGUGCAGGAUGACGGCCCUAUGGGUUUUAAACUGCUUUUAUAAGGGAAUAAAGUGAGCCUCGUGUGGCUUUUUGCGUGUACCUUAUGAAUAAGGACCGGCUAAUUCCGUGCCAGCCGCCGCCGUAA
rnacentral:rRNA from 1 species